rnacentral:rRNA from 1 species
UCUGCCCUAUUAGUGGGGGGACAAACAUCUCGAAAGGGAAUGCUUAAUACCGCAUACGUCCUACGGGAGAAAGCAGGGGAUCUUCGGACCCUUGCGCUAAUAGAUGAGCCUAAGUCGGAUUAGCUAGUUGGUGGGGUAAAGGCCUACCAAGGCGACGAUCUGUAGCGGGUCUGAGAGGAUGAUCCGCCACACUGGGACUGAGACACGGCCCAGACUCCUACGGGAGGCAGCAGUGGGGAAUAUUGGACAAUGGGGGGAACCCUGAUCCAGCCAUGCCGCGUGUGUGAAGAAGGCCUUAUGGUUGUAAAGCACUUUAAGCGAGGAGGAGGCUACUCUAGUUAAUACCUAGGGAUAGUGGACGUUACUCGCAGAAUAAGCACCGGCUAACUCUGUGCCAGCAGCCGCGGUAAUACAGAGGGUGCGAGCGUUAAUCGGAUUUACUGGGCGUAAAGCGUGCGUAGGCGGCUUAUUAAGUCGGAUGUGAAAUCCCCGAGCUUAACUUGGGAAUUGCAUUCGAUACUGGUGAGCUAGAGUAUGGGAGAGGAUGGUAGAAUUCCAGGUGUAGCGGUGAAAUGCGUAGAGAUCUGGAGGAAUACCGAUGGCGAAGGCAGCCAUCUGGCCUAAUACUGACGC